rnacentral:tRNA from 1 species
AGUUAGGUGGCUGAGUUCAGGCGGUGGGCUGUAGACCUACUCACAGGGCAUUAAACCCUUCUAACUA